rnacentral:rRNA from 1 species
UACGAAGGGGGCUAGCGUUGUUCGGAAUUACUGGGCGUAAAGCGCACGUAGGCGGAUUGGUCAGUUAGGGGUGAAAUCCCAGGGCCCAACCCUGGAACUGCCUUUAAUACUGCCAAUCUAGAGUCCGAGAGAGGUGAGUGGAAUUCCGAGUGUAGAGGUGAAAUUCGUAGAUAUUCGCAAGAACACCAGUGGCGAAGGCGGCUCACUGGCCCGGUACUGACGCUGAGGUGCGAAAGCGUGGGGAGCAAACAGG